UGUCAUCGCCCGUGAACUUUGGCACAGC
rnacentral:sRNA from 1 species